rnacentral:ncRNA from 2 species
GGCGAUUCAGGAGGAAAGCAGGGGGUAGGUUCCCCUCGCCCACGGUGCAAGCCGCAGCGCGCGGUGAAACUCUCAGGCCAAUGACUCCGGGGAGACG